AGACUGAUGCAAAUGACGUCAUCUCCCUGAUGGGGCAGCUUUCCCUGGAAAAUAGCCAUUUGCAUAGACACCCUGGGGCCUGGGGCCUGGGGCCUGAGGGCAGCAAGAGCUCCUGGUCCCAAUUCCUGAAAUGCCAGCCUAACACAAGGUCAAGUUCACAGGGCUUACAACCUAUGCAGUGUUAAAACCUGUCUCCAUUUAUCUGGGUCUUUUAAGUCUGUUAAUGGAAUUUAAAAUUUUUGUCCAUAAAGAUUUUAAGCAUCCUUUCUUAAAUUCAUUCCUGAUCAAAACCCUUAUAUUUCUGUAGAUGUAUUUAUUGUCUAUAAUAUUUUCUAGUUGCCUUGUAGGAAUGCUGUUUUUUGUAUGUUGAUCUAGCUUGUUAAGACUCGUUUACAAUUUUCUUAAGGUAAACCUAACUUAAUUGAGCCCACCCCGCCCCAAAGUGGUGUCCAUGCACCGCCCCAACCCCGCGGGGGUCCGGGGCCUGGGAGUAGGAUUUGUGACCUUGGUUCAGCCUCCCCUAAUCAAAAGGGGAAGGGAUGAAAGUCACCCCUGGCUACAGAAGUGGCUUCAAACCAUACUAGUUUUGUCGUCUACUUUUUCCUCAAGGAUGGCCGGUGGAUCUAGAUUCACCUCACGGCUUUUCACCGAUACCCAGCAGUCUCUAGAACAAAUGUGUGAAGAUUUAGGCACCCAGAGUGGUACCUCUGCUGGGUGUGGGGUCUUAGGAAAGUCCCUGUGACCCUCCCUGCUGGUUUGGGGGAGUCGCUGGGUCAGGCCCUCUUAAUACUUUGCCUGCAGGUGCCCUCAGCAGGUGGCAGCACCCUUCCCCCAGCCCUGCCGGGGGCCACCCUCCCUCCACCCACCAGAUCUGACCUGACAGCUCCUUUCAGCCCACAGGGGAAGGGGCUGUCCUGACAGGUGCGGGUGGCAUAUGUCAGGCCGGGGCUCUUUUGUGGCCUUUGUGGCUGUGUUUACACGUCUGAUCUCUCCAGCCCCAGCUCCUGCGGACCUGCCUUUCACACUGAGCUUGCAUCUGGAACAGAUGUAAAACUGUUUCCCUCUCAGGAAACUGAAACAGCCAUCUCUCUUUGAUACAAAUUCUGGGCAUUUAUUCUCUCUGGAACAAUGCUGUCCUUAUGUGGUUUUCUUUCUCAAAGGCCCCAGACCCCCCAAAUACCUGUCUGCGCCCUUGAUGACAUCAUGUCCAUCUCUGCAUGCAGUUUGGAUGCAUUGUGGAGAAUAACUUGUCUAGACUUGCCCCGAGACACCUGGAGGACCCAGGAACCUUAACCUGUGUGCCCACGAGCCCCUGCCCUGUCUUUCUUUGCAUUUCCAGCCGUCACCCUUUAAUGCUGAAAGCACGUGGUAAGCGCACGCGUGCUUGUUUAGCUCCGUGUCUCUGUGCCCGUGCACGUCCUGCCUGCAGUCCACUUCAGGGAUGAACGCUGAUCCACUCUGGCCUGGGGAGCAGGAGACUUGGGUGUAAGCCAAUUAGUUAUUAAUACAAUUAAAUUUUUUUGGCCGUGCCCCGCGGCACGUGGGAUCUUAGUUCCCCGACCAGGGAUCGAACCCGUGCCCCCUGCAGUGGAAGCGGGGAGUCCUAACCACUGGACUGCCAGGGAAUUCCCUACAAUUUAUUAUUAUUAUAAGAAUAAUGGACUGAAGUACAGAGGUCAUAACAGUGCCUGUUCCCCCCGUGUUCCAGGCUCUGCUCAAAGUACUUAACGGAGAUUCCUUCAUUCCCCAACAGCCCAGUGGGGGGGGGGGUACCUUACAGAUGAGAAAACUGUGACAUCACACAGCUGCUGAGUGGAAGAGCUGGGAUUUGAACUCAGGCCCUUUGGUUCUUCAUUCACUAUAUUCCGGACUGAAGGCUGUUUGAUACAGUGUGGGGUAAAUUCUGGUGAACACGGUCACAGGCCUCACCGGCUAUCACAAGCGAUGAUGUGAACAUGUAAACACAGCUGCCCAGCCUGUGUCUGCUCCCUUUCAGCCCCCAUGUCAGACUCUGAGACCUCAUUGACCAGAACUGGGUUACAUGCCCACCACUAGCUGCAAGGCGUGCCGGGAAAGUGAGAACAGGAGUGUCAGACUGCCUUAGAUUAACACAGAUCAGGGCCACCCCAAAAACUAGUUCUAUUAGCAAGGAGCAGGGGAGUGGAGAGGUGAGACAUCAAGCGAAGAAAGGAGGUUAUAAAAUACUAUGUAAGGAGUGAUCCCUUUUUUUUUUUUUAGGUUCUCAUUAGUUAUCUACUUUAUACACAGUAGUGUAUAUAUGUCAAUCCCAAUCUCCCAGUUCGUUCCCCCCGCUCCCUGCCCCAGGAGUGAUCCCAUUUUUGAAAAUGUGUGUGCUGCGAAUGUGUCCAGAAACUGGCAGUAUCCCUCUGGGAGUUGGGAUUGUGGGUGACUUUUCCUCGUGUAGCUUGCAUUUGCUUUUUCUGCUCGAGGGGCGUAGCAAUUGGAAGCUGGCAGAACCCAACGAAUUGGCUCUCCUGCUGGAGCCCAGCCUUAGGCCACUGUGACACCAGACACUUGGGUUUUUUAGUUUGACUACAGGCCUCUUGGGGGCCAGUAUUAGAAACAUACGUUUGUAGUCUGAUUUGCUCUUUUUUUUUUUGGCCGUGCCCCACGGCUUUCCGGAUCUUAGUUCCCCGACCAAGUCCUAACCACUGGACCGCCAGGGAAUUCCCUGAUUCUCUUUUCACACACAAAAAAGAGAAAAAGGCAAGGGCGCUUAUGAGUCUUCUCCAAAUCCCUGAGGGGUGUAUGACAGAACAGAGAGGCACGGUGACUUGCCCAGAGGCACACAGCAAGCAUACACAGCAGGAUUCACGCCGGGGAAGCUAGGGUAGAGGUAAGGUGACUAGUGAGUGACACCCCAAAGCAUCCAGUCUACUUCUUUUUUCUCCAGAGAAGAAAUGUAUCAAGCAAGACCCCUCUCUAGGAACCUCUUUUUGUACACCUUCCUGCAAAACCAUGGCCCUGGCUUCCUGGAUGACCAAGGUGAGGGGCUACCCGGCGUGACCAGUAUCUUGGAGUUCCACCCUGUCUCCCCCUACAGUGACGGCCCCCAUUACUUGGCCAUGCAGCUGGCCUCCAUUGCUGACGAGAUGGAGCUGAGGCUGCUGCUACCCCAGUUCGUCGAGCCCAUCCGGAUGACCGUGUACAGCCACAUAGGACUGAGGGACGUUCUUCGAAGUUUUAUGGUGGCUUUCACUAACCUCAGGGAGAAAAGAAGCCUCUGGAGCUUCCUGACCCUCAGGGACAGGGAAUCGCCUCCAUGCGGCAGACUGGUGGCUCACAGCGGCUCCUUGUCCUGAGCAGCUUCCCUGACUGCUCCCCUUCCCUCCCCGCCAGCACAGCAGAACGGCCCCCACACCAGUUCCCGGCAGACAGGCAGCCCCUGGUGGGCUGGCCUCCGCUCCUGCUGUGUCCUCAGGGCCACUGGCCUCUCCUACCCUUCCUGUGCCCCUCGGCUUUCUGGUCACCUCGCCCCAGACCCCCCCCCCCCGCCCCCAGUUCUGAGCGGAGCGCUCCCCCGCCCCGCCCUCGCCUGCCUUGUCCCUGCUGGGUGUCCUCACUCGUCCCCACCUUCAUCCCGCAGGUGUCCCCCAGCCCGUGGCCCGAGCUGGCGCUGUCCCUGCUGCUGGUGGUGACGCUCAGCUGGGGGCGCCGCCUCCACUGACCCGCUGCUGGCCCGCGUGGGGUGGGGCUGGCCCCCCGCCCGCUCCGCCACCACCCUGGAGGUGGCCUUGUCGGUUUGGCUGGCUUUUAACUGUUUUCUGUUGCCCCUUUUUUAUAUUUAAACUCCGAGUGCUGGGACACUGAGGUUCAUACUAGUUUUUCCCUUGUUUUUGUAAGAGAAAUGAAUUUAUUUUACCUCUGGGGUCAUUACUGGUUAAUGACCUGCUCUCCUGGCCCCAGCCUGCUCUGCGGGGGCCUGUCCUGAGGAGGAGCCUCCCUCUCUGGGGUCGGUCAAAUAGUGCGCAGCGGGGGGAGUGCUGGCCACACCCCCGUAUCCGUGAUGCCCGUGGCAAAAAGAAUCUGCUGGAAUAGAUUUCUGCGGGGUGAGGAGAGCUCAAUAAAAUGUUGGUUUCCAGACA